CAGAUUGGCUAAUAACUUAAAAUUUUCUUGAAUAGGUAAAGGCAAUGGAUAACAAAAGGAAAAGAGGAAAUCCAAAUAUGGAAGGGACAGGAAGUUACUUGCAAAAGGACUUAGAAAAAUAAUAGCAUAAAUAUCUUGGUUAAAAUACAAGGACGUAGAAUGCACUACAAGCCUGUGAGCAUGUUUAACAGCACAAAGAUCUUCGUUAACGG